rnacentral:rRNA from 1 species
CAGCCGCCGCGGUAAUACGAAGGGGGCUAGCGUUGCUCGGAAUGACUGGGCGUAAAGGGCGCGUAGGCGGCAUGUACAGUCAGACGUGAAAUUCCUGGGCUUAACCUGGGGGCUGCGUUUGAUACGUGCAGGCUAGAGUGGGGAAGAGGGUUGUGGAAUUCCCAGUGUAGAGGUGAAAUUCGUAGAUAUUGGGAAGAACACCGGUGGCGAAGGCGGCAACCUGGUCCUUGACUGACGCUGAGGCGCGAAAGCGUGGGGAGCAAACAGGAUUAGAUACCCCAGUAGUCCCUGUCUCUUAUAC